CACAACCUCCUCUCCGUCUGAAGUCCUGUUGGACAUCAGGGCGAAUUUUUUUUCCUAAACAAAAUCGGACUUGUCAGAACAAACAAUUUUCCCGGAUUUAUCGCUGGUCGAGACCCAAGUUGUAAAACAAAACGAUCUUGAUGCAAUAUUUACGUGGAUUUAAGUUACUGUAUCGUGUCAGCCUUCUCUUUCAGCUUGUAGCAACCAACCAAAUGGAACAAGCAGCUAUGAACCCAGACAGCAUUCAGCAUCUUAUAUCAAUGGCCAGACUGGAGACCCCAAGGAUGAGAUCAAGGACAAUGGAAGGUCUUCAGAUUUUUACUUGAAACCUGCUGCCUUAUAUGGAUGACAUCACCAUUAGAAACAGAUCAGAUAUUUCAACAUACUUGCUAGAUGAACAAGAAUUCUUAAGCUUUAAAAAGAAGACAUUCAGAAAAACUCAGAUGCCUCUGCUAUACUUUUGUUUUAUAUGAAUUGCCUAAGAUGACAAUUACAAGAGCAUAAAAUGAAAUUUAAAGAAAGUAGUGGUACAAAGUGAGAUAAUGGACAUUUACAUGGAUUUGUCAUUUUUAUUACACACAGAUGUAACAUGGAUAAGACAUUUGACUCAGGUUUACAAAAGGUUGUUGUCACAAAUAGCAAUAAAAGUGUCACUUUUGAAUUA